rnacentral:rRNA from 1 species
GGUUAAGCGACUAAGCGUACACGGUGGAUGCCCUGGCAGUCAGAGGCGAUGAAGGACGUGCUAAUCUGCGAUAAGCGUCGGUAAGGUGAUAUGAACCGUUAUAACCGGCGAUUUCCGAAUGGGGAAACCCAGUGUGUUUCGACACACUAUCAUUAACUGAAUCCAUAGGUUAAUGAGGCGAACCGGGGGAACUGAAACAUCUAAGUACCCCGAGGAAAAGAAAUCAACCGAGAUUCCCCCAGUAGCGGCGAGCGAACGGGGAGCAGCCCAGAGCCUGAAUCAGUGUGUGUGUUAGUGGAAGCGUCUGGAAAGGCGCGCGAUACAGGGUGACAGCCCCGUACACAAAAAUGCACAUGCUGUGAGCUCGAUGAGUAGGGCGGGACACGUGGUAUCCUGUCUGAAUAUGGGGGGACCAUCCUCCAAGGCUAAAUACUCCUGACUGACCGAUAGUGAACCAGUACCGUGAGGGAAAGGCGAAAAGAACCCCGGCGAGGGGAGUGAAAAAGAACCUGAAACCGUGUACGUACAAGCAGUGGGAGCACGCUUAGGCGUGUGACUGCGUACCUUUUGUAUAAUGGGUCAGCGACUUAUAUUCUGUAGCAAGGUUAACCGAAUAGGGGAGCCGAAGGGAAACCGAGUCUUAACUGGGCGUUAAGUUGCAGGGUAUAGACCCGAAACCCGGUGAUCUAGCCAUGGGCAGGUUGAAGGUUGGGUAACACUAACUGGAGGACCGAACCGACUAAUGUUGAAAAAUUAGCGGAUGACUUGUGGCUGGGGGUGAAAGGCCAAUCAAACCGGGAGAUAGCUGGUUCUCCCCGAAAGCUAUUUAGGUAGCGCCUCGUGAAUUCAUCUCCGGGGGUAGAGCACUGUUUCGGCAAGGGGGUCAUCCCGACUUACCAACCCGAUGCAAACUGCGAAUACCGGAGAAUGUUAUCACGGGAGACACACGGCGGGUGCUAACGUCCGUCGUGAAGAGGGAAACAACCCAGACCGCCAGCUAAGGUCCCAAAGUCAUGGUUAAGUGGGAAACGAUGUGGGAAGGCCCAGACAGCCAGGAUGUUGGCUUAGAAGCAGCCAUCAUUUAAAGAAAGCGUAAUAGCUCACUGGUCGAGUCGGCCUGCGCGGAAGAUGUAACGGGGCUAAACCAUGCACCGAAGCUGCGGCAGCGACGCUUAUGCGUUGUUGGGUAGGGGAGCGUUCUGUAAGCCUGUGAAGGUGUGCUGUGAGGCAUGCUGGAGGUAUCAGAAGUGCGAAUGCUGACAUAAGUAACGAUAAAGCGGGUGAAAAGCCCGCUCGCCGGAAGACCAAGGGUUCCUGUCCAACGUUAAUCGGGGCAGGGUGAGUCGACCCCUAAGGCGAGGCCGAAAGGCGUAGUCGAUGGGAAACAGGUUAAUAUUCCUGUACUUGGUGUUACUGCGAAGGGGGGACGGAGAAGGCUAUGUUGGCCGGGCGACGGUUGUCCCGGUUUAAGCGUGUAGGCUGGUUUUCCAGGCAAAUCCGGAAAAUCAAGGCUGAGGCGUGAUGACGAGGCACUACGGUGCUGAAGCAACAAAUGCCCUGCUUCCAGGAAAAGCCUCUAAGCAUCAGGUAACAUCAAAUCGUACCCCAAACCGACACAGGUGGUCAGGUAGAGAAUACCAAGGCGCUUGAGAGAACUCGGGUGAAGGAACUAGGCAAAAUGGUGCCGUAACUUCGGGAGAAGGCACGCUGAUAUGUAGGUGAAGUCCCUCGCGGAUGGAGCUGAAAUCAGUCGAAGAUACCAGCUGGCUGCAACUGUUUAUUAAAAACACAGCACUGUGCAAACACGAAAGUGGACGUAUACGGUGUGACGCCUGCCCGGUGCCGGAAGGUUAAUUGAUGGGGUCAGCGCAAGCGAAGCUCUUGAUCGAAGCCCCGGUAAACGGCGGCCGUAACUAUAACGGUCCUAAGGUAGCGAAAUUCCUUGUCGGGUAAGUUCCGACCUGCACGAAUGGCGUAAUGAUGGCCAGGCUGUCUCCACCCGAGACUCAGUGAAAUUGAACUCGCUGUGAAGAUGCAGUGUACCCGCGGCAAGACGGAAAGACCCCGUGAACCUUUACUAUAGCUUGACACUGAACAUUGAGCCUUGAUGUGUAGGAUAGGUGGGAGGCUUUGAAGUGUGGACGCCAGUCUGCAUGGAGCCGACCUUGAAAUACCACCCUUUAAUGUUUGAUGUUCUAACGUUGACCCGUAAUCCGGGUUGCGGACAGUGUCUGGUGGGUAGUUUGACUGGGGCGGUCUCCUCCUAAAGAGUAACGGAGGAGCACGAAGGUUGGCUAAUCCUGGUCGGACAUCAGGAGGUUAGUGCAAUGGCAUAAGCCAGCUUGACUGCGAGCGUGACGGCGCGAGCAGGUGCGAAAGCAGGUCAUAGUGAUCCGGUGGUUCUGAAUGGAAGGGCCAUCGCUCAACGGAUAAAAGGUACUCCGGGGAUAACAGGCUGAUACCGCCCAAGAGUUCAUAUCGACGGCGGUGUUUGGCACCUCGAUGUCGGCUCAUCACAUCCUGGGGCUGAAGUAGGUCCCAAGGGUAUGGCUGUUCGCCAUUUAAAGUGGUACGCGAGCUGGGUUUAGAACGUCGUGAGACAGUUCGGUCCCUAUCUGCCGUGGGCGCUGGAGAAUUGAGGGGGGCUGCUCCUAGUACGAGAGGACCGGAGUGGACGCAUCACUGGUGUUCGGGUUGUCAUGCCAAUGGCACUGCCCGGUAGCUAAAUGCGGAAGAGAUAAGUGCUGAAAGCAUCUAAGCACGAAACUUGCCCCGAGAUGAGUUCUCCCUGACUCCUUGAGAGUCCUGAAGGAACGUUGAAGACGACGACGUUGAUAGGCCGGGUGUGUAAGCGCAGCGAUGCGUUGAGCUAACCGGUACUAAUGAACCGUGAGGCUUAACCUU